rnacentral:lncRNA from 1 species
AUUAGAAAAAUAAGAAAAAUAGAAGUAAUAUAUUAAAUAUUUUUAUUAUAUAAAGUAUAAUAAGAUAUUUUUAUUCUAAUUUAAAAUUAAAAUAUAAUAUUAUUAUAUCUUAUAUUAUAAUUAUCUUGUAAUAAUAUUAAAUUAGACAAAAAUCUUCAUUUUAUGUUUCAAAUUAAAAACAGCUCUCUACUUGAGUUUAAAUUAAAAGUAGCUCCCAAUUCCAAACAUAAAUUAAAAGCAACUCUCCAUUUCUAACUGAAACGAUCGUUAUAUCCUUGUACUCUCGUACGGUUAUACAACAAGAUAGUAUUGUUUUACAAUAACGCAGUACUGAUUUAUAAUAAAGCAGUACCAUCUUCUAAUAUCGCAGUAUUAUUUUAUAAUACGUAAUGCAAUACUGAUUUAUAAUAAGACAGUAUUGUUUUCUAAUAUCGCAAUGUUGUUUUAUAAUACGAUAGUACUAUUUUAUAAUAAAACAGUACUAUUUUAUAAUAGUGUUAUAUUAUAAUAAGACAAUGUUGUUUUAUAAUAAGGCAGUACUGUAUUAUAAUAAGGAAGUACUGUUUUGUAAUAUCUUUACAUCAUAAUAAGGUAGUAUUGUUUUACACUAAUGUAGUAUUACUUUAUAAUAAGGCAGUACUAUUUUUUAAUAUCACAGUGUUGUUUUAGUGUUAGUUUAUAACUGCAGGGGCAAUUUGGUCAUUUAUGUCAAUUGGGGAGCUGCGUUUAAGUAAAACUCAACUGGGGAGCUACUUUUAAGUUUAAACUCAAACGGA